GCAUUAAUGGGGUAGUGGUAACCUGGGUCGUUGCCAUAUAUGAUAUAUGAGACGAGUCUCUCGACCCGCCGGGGGUUCGAUUCCCCCUUAAUGCA